GGCUCAGACGGUAAAGCGUCUGCCUGAAAUGCAGGAGACCCGGGUUCAAUUCCUGG
rnacentral:tRNA from 1 species